CUCAUACACACAGACAUUAAUAUGAUUCUGUACAGAAGUUUACGUACAAUUAUGGCCAUUAAUGUUACAUUCAUUUUGAGUUUUUUAUAGAAGCAUUUCAACUGCUCUUUUUACAGAAUGGAGAAACUAUGAAGUAUACAAUUUCAAUGUUUACUAAAAACUAGAACUGGAACUGCAUAUUUGAAUACACCGUGGAUUUUCUGCACACAUUGUCAAACAUUUGCAUACAUACUGAAAUUUAGAGAAAC